rnacentral:rRNA from 1 species
UACAGAGGUCCCAAGCGUUGUUCGGAUUCAUUGGGCGUAAAGGGUGCGUAGGCGGCGCGGUAAGUCGGGUGUGAAAUCUCGGGGCUUAACUCCGAAACUGCAUUCGAUACUGCCGUGCUUGAGGACUGGAGAGGAGACUGGAAUUUACGGUGUAGCGGUGAAAUGCGUAGAUAUCGUAAGGAAGACCAGUGGCGAAGGCGGAUCUCUGGACAGUUCCUGACGCUGAGGCACGAAGGCCAGGGGAGCAAACGGG